ensembl:lncRNA
GUUGAUGAGACAGGAGGGUAAGAAGGGGAACCUUCCUUCAGGCAGAAGAACAGCAUGUGGUGAAGGUGGUGAAGAGCCUGGCCCCUCAGGAUGAGAACACUUCAGUUCCUAUGUGGGAUUUGGAAUAUAGCAGGACAAAGACAGAAGUUGGGAAACCAGACAGGAGCAAGUGACUAUGGCAGUGGCUCAGGGGUUCACAGCUAAGGGGUUGCCUUGCAUCUCAAAGAAGACUUUGGACUUGGACUUUUCAGCAAUGCUGAAACUGUUAAGACUUUGAUGACUCAGUUGGUUGAAUCCAUGGAUGAAGAACAUGGAUAUGGAGGGUCAGCUACACUUAUCUUUUGGAGAUAGGUCCUGAAGUACAUGUGGAUAAAAUAAUAUGAUGUCUAGAACUGGCUUCAAAAUCAUCCAGGAGAGAAGGUCAGAGCUUUGGGAGGCUCGGGAAGCUGUCUGAAAUCCUUGAGCACUGCCAGAUCUUGGAGAUGAAGAGACACAGUUGUGUGGUAUGCGAGGAGAGGAAGCCAGCAGAGAACUGACAUGCCGCAUUCUUUCAGAGCUCCAGCUGGCAAAAGGCUGCAUUCCCUGAACACCACUGCCAAACCUCCCAGGUGGCAGUCUCCACCCUGGGUCCAGUCUUCCCCUGGUGGGGUGGAAAGACGUUCCAGGUCUAUCUUCCCUGUAACUAGAGGUGCUAAGAGGUCAGCUGUGCAGGAGAGUGCCUUAGACUUCUGAAACCUCAGCAACCUUCAGUACAGAAUUGGAUGUAUCUCCCUAGUGCUGUCAGAGGGGAUAUGUAUUUAACAUGCUUAAGAGUUUCUUAGAAUAUUACCCUCCUUCCUGUGCAGUUUUGUGGUUUUUAUCUUUCCUAACGACUUAGCCUUCUGCUUCCUACUUUUGGUUGUUAUUUCUUUUUUCUCUAUAAUUAGAUUCAGGAAAAAAAACCAUCAAAGACUUGUGUCCUGAGAAGUUAGGGAAUCUCCUUGGAAAGAAUCUGAAAAGGAGGAAUUCAAUGUUUGUUGACUGAAUUAAAUAGUUUUAUGUUGAUCUGAAUAGAGAAGUAAAACUAUCAAUAGGGUUUAAAACCCCUGGAUAUCAGGGAAACUAUUACUGAACGUAGUAGACUGUGUGUGUUACUUUAUUUCCAUUUUACAGGUUAAGAAAUUGAAGGUCAUGAAGUUAAAUAAUUCUAAGUGCCCUUUGUUAGUGCUUUAAUUAUCUUUUUAAUCUACAAUAGGGUCACUAUAUCUUUUGGUUUCUCAUUUCUUUUGGGCCAAUAUCUGUUAUUUACAAGCGAUAUUUUGCUCAGAACCUGUCCAUUUCCUACAGUGUUUUAAAAUUUACUGUCCUACACUUAUACCUAGUAUUUGCCUUGGGAUUUAUGUGUUUUAACUUUGUAAAUCAAUUUUAUUAAGGCCUACCUUGCACAUGAUCAAUUAUGCCUGUCUUAAGUGCAUGGGUCUGUGUGUUAUGACAAAGGUAUGGUAUAUGUACCUGUGUAUCAGUGCAUUCAAGACAUAGAACAUUUUUGUCACCCAUAGAAGAUUUUUUUGCUCUUUUAUGGUCAGCUCCCACCUCCAUUAAUCUGUUUUUUGUCAAUUUAGAUAUGUUUUCCCUUUUCUAGACUCAUAUAAAUGGAAUCAGACUGCCAUUCUCUUAUUUGUCUAGCAGUCUUAGAUUGAUCCACACUAUUGGCUGUAUUACAAAUUUGUCUUCUUUUUAUUGCUGUGUAGCAGUCUACCAAAUGGAUGAAUAUACUACAGUAUGUGUAGCAUUCUCUUGCUGUUUUCAGGGAUCACUGUGAAUAUGUAUUAGAUAGGCUUCAUACCAAAUUAUCACAAAACUUAGUGAUUUGAAACAAUAAAAAUAUUUAUAAUCUCACCUUUUUGUUGUGUCAGAAGCUUGGGUGCAGUUUAGCUGGCUGCUUCUGCUUCAUGGUUUCUUACAGAGCUGUGAGCAAAGCAUGGGCUGGGCCGCUCAUUCCUGCACUUGCCAUUAUUUGGUAAGAUGUGGUUUCUUGCUGUCUGCUGGAAUGAAGGCUUCCAUUUUCCUCCUGGCUGUUGGCCAGAGGCAUCACUCAGUUCUUGUCAUGUGGGCCUUUCCAUAGAGACACUCACAGCUUAGCCACUAGCUUCCUUAAAGCCAGUGAGAUAGAGACGGAGAGAAAGAGAGAGAGAGAGAGAGAGAGAGAGAGCGCUCAAACAAUAUGAAAAGCCUAGAAUUUUGGAACUUAAUCUUGGGACUUACAGCUAAUCACUUUUGUCAUUUUCAUUUGCAAGUAGGUCACCAAGUUCAGCCCAUACUCCAGAGAAGGUUAUUUCGCUAAUAUUUGAAUUCUAAGCAGUGGGGAAUCAUUAAAAUCCAUUAAGACAGAUUCUAGGGAGGUAGAGGCUUCCUACUAUGGUAUACAACUGCUGUGAACAUUUGUGUACUAGUGCUGUGGUUUGGAUACAUGUCUCAAGAUAUGUUUCCCAAGGUCCUUGUACUAAGGCGUGAUCUCCAGGAUGAUGCUAUGAGAGGUGGUGGAACACUUAGGAGGUGAGACUUCAUAGCAGGUCCUUAGGUCAUUUGCUGGUGUGUCCUUAAAGGAAUGUGGGACCCUGGUCUCACCUCUCUUUCUGUCUGGCUUUGCAUCUUGUCUCAUGAGAUGAGCAGUUUGUUUUUCAGUGCAUUCUUGCCUUAAAGUGUUAUCCUCUUCAGGGAACCACAGAAAUAAGGCUGCUGACUUUGAACCUCUGAAAUGGUAAGCCAAAAUAAACUUUUUCUCUUAGGUGUGGGUGUAGCUCAGUGGUAGAGUGCUUGCUUAGCAUGCAUGGGGCCCUGGGUUCCAUCCCCAGUACUACAAAAAACAAACAGAUCCCCCCACUUUUCUCUCUAUGAGCUAAUUGUCUUGAGUAUUUCAUUCUAGUGAAAGCUGACCAAUAUAACAUGUCAUUUCUCUUAGGUAAAUGCCUAUGAAUGGAAUUGUUGCAUUUUGUGAUACUUUACUUUCUCUCUCUCUCUUUCCUCUUACAGAGACCAUCUGUAUUGUCAGUCUUUUUAAAAUUUCAGGUAUUAUAAGGAAUGUGAAAAUGGCCAUUAUUGUGAUUGUAGUUUGCAUUUCUCUGAUGAUUAAA